AUUGAACGCUGGCGGAAUGCUUUACACAUGCAAGUCGAACGGCAGCACGGACUUCGGUCUGGUGGCGAGUGGCGAACGGGUGAGUAAUAUAUCGGAACGUGCCCAGUCGUGGGGGAUAACGUAGUGAAAAUUACGCUAAUACCGCAUACGAUCUAUGGAUGAAAGCGGGGGAUCGCAAGACCUCGCGCGAUUGGAGCGGCCGAUAUCAGAUUAGGUAGUUGGUGAGGUAAAGGCUCACCAAGCCGACGAUCUGUAGCUGGUCUGAGAGGACGACCAGCAAAACUGGAACUGAGACACGGUCCAGACGCCUACGGGAGGCAGCAGUGGGGAAUUUUGGACAAUGGACGCAAGUCUGAUCCAGCCAUUCCGCGUGCAGGACGAAGGCCUUCGGGUUGUAAACUGCUUUUGUACAGAACGAAAAGGUCUCUAUUAAUACUAGGGGCUCAUGACGGUACUGUAAGAAUAAGCACCGGCUAACUACGUGCCAGCCGCCGCCGUAAGAC
rnacentral:rRNA from 1 species